AGUGCCAGCAGCUGUGAGCCUUCAGCAGGACCUUGAUGGGGCUCAGCUGCCAUAGCCUUGCCUUAGCCUUUAUCAUGAGAAUUCAUGAGUGAUUUGGAGGAGAUGGUUCUGCAACACUUGGCUCUGUCCUAGAGAUGUGCUGAUCAGAAGGCAACAGAUCUUGCCACUGGAGUAAGUGAUAUUACUGACCCGAGUAAAGGCUGUGUGAUGAGGCUUAACACGAAGAUGGAAGAAGAAAGGUCUGGGAAGCUGAACCUUGCAUAGACCACUGAUGGACUAUGAAUCUUCAGGAAGAGAAGAAGGGAUUAGCUCAUAAGAAGUCAUUGAUUGUAUACUGUUCCAGCAAAGCAGUUUACCCUCUGAGGCCCUCGCUGUCAGCUCCACGCUCAUACAUCCAUGCCCUGCUGUCGAGCCUGACAGCCGUCUAUUGUUCAUUCACUGCUUCCACCUCGCCACUUAAUAUUAUUGCGAUAAGGAAACUCCCAUGUCACGACCCACUGGCGUCUGGCUAAUCCGAUGGUAUUCGUCGCCGCAUUGUCCGUGAUCAAUAACUAAUUAUCAAAGUGGCAUUUCUUUUCAAGAGCUCCUUGUUAAAAAAUGGCUUUUGGCUGAAACUAGAGGAAAAAGGUCGCCACUUUGACAUCGUUGCAAGUCUUUCAAAAUCCAGUGGGCCGUCCAAUUGAAUUACUGUCCCAAACUAAUUGAUAUAAAUUUGAACAGAAGAAUGCUUGUUACUACAGAAUGUCAUAAUGAUAUCCUUGGCAAGAGCAUGUCAGUGGGAAAAAAGAGAAAAGACCAGCACUAGUCACAAAGCAUCUAGACAAGUUGCCGCAGAAGACUGUUAACGAAAGUAAGAGGAAUAAAAUCGUGCAUCAGUUCCUUUUUCUCAGUAAGGUUUGGUCAGAUGUUCAAGAAACAUCAAUUAACAUCUGCUUUUUGUAACAUUUUGCAUUUGAAAUCAGACUUUAUAAAACCUGCUGUAAGAAAGGAAUAAUUGCAGUAUACUAAGGACUGAAAACCUGAUGAUCAGUUGCAGAAGUCUCAUUGACUCUACUGAGAUCUCGAGGGAGCGUCUGUUGGAAUUUAGCUUUAGUCAUGAGGCCGAACUUGGCAGACAGUUUCCUUAAGCAGCCUUAAAAUAUGACCUUCUUCAAAGCAAACUGGAUUGGAUGUAAAUAAGUCACAUGACUUUGAACUAGAAAAAGAACACAGGCACUUAAAAUACAGGAAGCGCAGUCAUAAAAAUGUGGUGAAAAAAGUGAUGACAAAAAGAUUUCAUACUGUUCAUGCCUGAGAUUUGAUGUACUGUCUUACAUGCCUUUCGGAGACUGCUGCAGAAAUCUUGGAACCCUUUUGAUUUUUCAUUGCGUGACAACAGAGCUUGUGAUGUUUCUGGUUUUGUUUAUGUUUUCUAGACCUAAUUACCUUCCCCUCUGUGUCAUACAUUCUGUCUCUGAGCUGGGAAUUGCAAAGGAGGAGCACAGGCAAAGGUCACGCCACAACGGGGUAAGAGGUGUUGUGGAAAAAGGGGUACUGCAAAAGAGUCUUUGUGGGAGCAUGGUAACUAGACUUGACUCAUGACAGAAAUUAAUCAGAUGGAUUUAUCAGUUAUCUUCUCAAAAAAAAAAAAGUUGUCAAUUAGUUUGCCAAAAUGUGUCAUUUUAGUCACAUGCAGAGGAAGUCAUGUGAUUGCUGAGGAAGAGAGAAGAGAAGGGCAUUUGUGCCUAAUUGGAAACAGUGAGUGUAUGUGCUUUUUAAUCCCUGAUCUUAAAAGGCUCCAGCUGGGGUUUAGUAAUGAAUAUAUUUCCUGCAAACUUACUGUUUUACAUUUCCCAAUGAUAAAGAGAAGGUGACUAAUGAAUUGACACAGGGACUUUAAUCUCUGCAGUAGAUUUGCAGAUGCCAUUCACAGUGUAUCAAUCAGCAAACAGAAGUUUUUAGUAUCUGAUGACUAGUCAGUAGCCAGUGUGAACUGAGUUGUAUCUCCACGCAGAACCUAAUGGUCAAAACCCAAUACUGCCUAUUUUGUGCAGUAUUUUUGGGAUAAAUUCAACAUAGUGACUCUGGAACACACGGAUCAGAGAGACUAAAUAAAUUUACAGAUGGCAAUUAUCUUGUUUGGGCUGGGUUGUGACAGAUGACAAUUUUGAAAAUAGGCAAUCGAUGCAUGAAUUGGAUUUAAUAGAAGACUGACAGACUGUUGCUUACGAUAGAUUUAUUGCUUAGAUAAUAAGGCCAUCAAGGCAUAUUUUCUUGUUAUGUCAAAGCCACAGAACAAAGUGAGAAACCACAAGGGUUUAAAGAUUCACAUUCACAUGGUUUUGAUUAGAAAGGGGAAAGUCUACUUUUGUUGCUGAAAGACCAAAGGUAGCAAGGUCACUACAUUCAGUUCCAUUCUGCCUUCCGUAUAUGACUUUAUGACUGUCCUCUUAUACUGGAGGCAGGAAAUGCCUUGUGAUGGCAAAUAGCUGAGCCAUCUCUGACAGACUUACAUCAUCACAGAGUCGCUAGGGAACUCUCUUCUUGUCUUCCAUGGCUGCUUUAAUGACACUUUGUGAGGCUUUCUUUAGCAGACCAGAGAAUUCAGUCUGAAAGCCUGUCGGGUGGGUCAGCCACUGUCUAGGUCAUCCAAUCUUGCCCUUAAUUAUUCCCUCUGGCAUUACAUUCACAGGAUGGUGGAAGUAGAGGCUAAAUAUAUACUGUCUAUUUAUGGGCUAUCUAUAUAAUAUUUUGGCAUCUAUGGAACAUAUCUAUACUGUUGUUACUGGAAUCUACAUUUGCAUCAUUGUGUAGCCUGUAGGAGAAGUUGAAAUGUCUGUGAUGGAACUGGAAAAAGACUCCUACACGUUUGUGAACUAGUUUUGGGUCUAAUUGAAACCCUAAUACCGUCAGAGCUGAUAAUGCCAUUAAACAGUUCAGAAUUGAUAUCAACUCUAUCAUGUAGAAGUAACUGCUCUGAAAGAGUGAAAAUGUUAUGACUUGAUAGUGCAUGGCCUUCUUAAAAAAAAGUAGUGUAAUCCAAAAUCAAUGUAGCCUCUACUAAGCAGAUUUAAAAUUUGUUAUCUGAUCUCAAAAUCUGCCUGUAAAUAAGAAAUCACAAUUUUUAAUGUGGUUCAACACAGAACUUUAUUUAGCUCAAAGUUAUUCACUUCUCUGAAAUAUUUUGUAGAAAAUAUAAAACUGCAAAUAGAAUUUGAAAGUGACAAUUUGUAAACGACAAUAAGGGUGAGUUAGUUAUGUAGUUUUAUGGAGAUUACAUUGCAUUACCCACAUGUAAAUGUGGAGUCAUUAUGUAAUCACCGAUUAUGUUUGUAAAGGGUGAACUGAAAUUGUCAUGAUAAUAGUAAUUGAACAGCAAACAGUACAAGGGGGUAAGUGCAAUUCGUGGAUGUACAAGAAAGAGAACCCUGAAAAGAGUAAUAUCACUUAAAAAAAAAAUCCAAAACAAAACACAAACAUAUAAAAAGAUUCUGAUAACAGAAAUUGAAAGGAUUUGAGAUCCGGAAAAUUAUUUUUGUGUUGAACUUUAGAGAGCUCUAUUCACUGUUAUAUUCUAGGAGUAUUCUAGGAGUUUAUUCACCCAAGAUCUGCAAGGAAUUUCUAAACAGCUAAUGAUCAAUGUUUUUUCUCCCAUAGUUAAAAUUCAAAAUAAUUAGAGCUAAUUAAAGCUAAAAAGACAAAUUCAGCUUUGAAAUGUCAGUUCUUACCAUUUUUCAACACAUGUUGCAAUGUUAUUAAGAGAAAUAUGACAAAAUAUUCGUAAAACCUUUGAAAUAUCCUUUACUCCAUCUCUUACUAGCAUCCUAGGUAAAGUCACAGGUAAAUGAAUGAUGUUCUUCUUUAUUAAUUUUUUAACCUCUUCUACAGAAGUGAAUACUUAAGUGAAUUUUAAUUAUAUCCUAAAAUAUGUAAUGCUAAUUCCAGCUAAUUGUCCCAAAGUAGUUAAUAUAUAAAUAGCUCUGAAUAUCUCGUACCUGCUGCUUCUAUUUAAUGCUUACUUCCUUUGUUUCUUUUUUUGCUCUUUCUAGUACGGAAGUAGAGCAAGGGACCAUAUGCAGCUAGAUCAAAGCAGGAGUCUGUCCAGAAAGGAGUUGUGGCUCAUGAGUCAUAACUAAUCCCUUGAUUACCCUCAGAUGGUACAUUUUUAUUUCCUUUCUUGUAUCUGGCCAGCUGUUGCUCCUACUGCUGAUCCUGCUGGUGUUUUACUGCUUUUAUUGGCACUCUGAUGUCUUUUGGUAGUCAAAUAGGAUCAGAAGCAGGGAUACAGGAGAGCAGUUGUACUACAUCCAGAACAUUCAUGGCUGAGUAGCUCAGGUGAGAUCAGCAGAAGCAUCUCUUCUCUCCACAACUGUUAAACAGGCCUUGAAGUUUUAUUGUGGCACUUAUCACUUCACUACCUGAACAACUCCCAGGUUAAUUGAAUGACCAGAGUUCUUAGCGAUGGUGGGUGUUGGCUUUUUUCUCUCCCUGCUUAGGAAUCUGAUGGUGAAGAUAGAGAGGUCAGCAACCACUGUCUUUAACAGCAUG